rnacentral:tRNA from 1 species
GGGGCCGUAGCUCAGUUGGCUAGAGCGCUACCAUGGCAUGGUAGAGGUCGUGGGUUCAAGCCCCACCGGCUCCACCA